rnacentral:rRNA from 1 species
UACGGGGGGGGGCAAGCGUUGUUCGGAAUUACUGGGCGUAAAGGGCUCGUAGGCGGCCAACUAAGUCGGAUGUGAAAUCCCCAGGCUUAACCUGGGAACUGCAUCCGAUACUGGAUGGCUUGAAUCCGGGAGAGGGAUGCAGAAUUCCAGGUGUAGCGGUGAAAUGCGUAGAUAUCUGGAGGAACACCGGUGGCGAAGGCGGCAUCCUGGACCGACACUGACGCUGAGGCGCGAAAGCUAGGGUAGCAAACGGG